GGUUAAGCGACUAAGCGUACACGGUGGAUGCCCUGGCAGUCAGAGGCGAUGAAGGACGUGCUAAUCUGCGAUAAGCGUCGGUAAGGUGAUAUGAACCGUUAUAACCGGCGAUUUCCGAAUGGGGAAACCCAGUGUGUUUCGACACACUAUCAUUAACUGAAUCCAUAGGUUAAUGAGGCGAACCGGGGGAACUGAAACAUCUAAGUACCCCGAGGAAAAGAAAUCAACCGAGAUUCCCCCAGUAGCGGCGAGCGAACGGGGAGCAGCCCAGAGCCUGAAUCNNNNNNNNNNNNNNNNNNAGCGUCUGGAAAGGCGCGCGAUACAGGGUGACAGCCCCGUACACAAAAAUGCACAUAUUGUGAGCUCGAUGAGUAGGGCGGGACACGUGGUAUCCUGUCUGAAUAUGGGGGGACCAUCCUCCAAGGCUAAAUACUCCUGACUGACCGAUAGUGAACCAGUACCGUGAGGGAAAGGCGAAAAGAACCCCGGCGAGGGGAGUGAAAAAGAACCUGAAACCGUGUACGUACAAGCAGUGGGAGCACGCUUAGGCGUGUGACUGCGUACCUUUUGUAUAAUGGGUCAGCGACUUAUAUUCUGUAGCAAGGUUAACCGAAUAGGGGAGCCGAAGGGAAACCGAGUCUUAACUGGGCGUUAAGUUGCAGGGUAUAGACCCGAAACCCGGUGAUCUAGCCAUGGGCAGGUUGAAGGUUGGGUAACACUAACUGGAGGACCGAACCGACUAAUGUUGAAAAAUUAGCGGAUGACUUGUGGCUGGGGGUGAAAGGCCAAUCAAACCGGGAGAUAGCUGGUUCUCCCCGAAAGCUAUUUAGGUAGCGCCUCGUGAAUUCAUCUCCGGGGGUAGAGCACUGUUUCGGCAAGGGGGUCAUCCCGACUUACCAACCCGAUGCAAACUGCGAAUACCGGAGAAUGUUAUCACGGGAGACACACGGCGGGUGCUAACGUCCGUCGUGAAGAGGGAAACAACCCAGACCGCCAGCUAAGGUCCCAAAGUCAUGGUUAAGUGGGAAACGAUGUGGGAAGGCCCAGACAGCCAGGAUGUUGGCUUAGAAGCAGCCAUCAUUUAAAGAAAGCGUAAUAGCUCACUGGUCGAGUCGGCCUGCGCGGAAGAUGUAACGGGGCUAAACCAUGCACCGAAGCUGCGGCAGCGACACUAUGUGUUGUUGGGUAGGGGAGCGUUCUGUAAGCCUGUGAAGGUGUGCUGUGAGGCAUGCUGGAGGUAUCAGAAGUGCGAAUGCUGACAUAAGUAACGAUAAAGCGGGUGAAAAGCCCGCUCGCCGGAAGACCAAGGGUUCCUGUCCAACGUUAAUCGGGGCAGGGUGAGUCGACCCCUAAGGCGAGGCCGAAAGGCGUAGUCGAUGGGAAACAGGUUAAUAUUCCUGUACUUGGUGUUACUGCGAAGGGGGGACGGAGAAGGCUAUGUUGGCCGGGCGACGGUUGUCCCGGUUUAAGCGUGUAGGCUGGUUUUCCAGGCAAAUCCGGAAAAUCAAGGCUGAGGCGUGAUGACGAGGCACUACGGUGCUGAAGCAACAAAUGCCCUGCUUCCAGGAAAAGCCUCUAAGCAUCAGGUAACAUCAAAUCGUACCCCAAACCGACACAGGUGGUCAGGUAGAGAAUACCAAGGCGCUUGAGAGAACUCGGGUGAAGGAACUAGGCAAAAUGGUGCCGUAACUUCGGGAGAAGGCACGCUGAUAUGUAGGUGAAGUCCCUCGCGGAUGGAGCUGAAAUCAGUCGAAGAUACCAGCUGGCUGCAACUGUUUAUUAAAAACACAGCACUGUGCAAACACGAAAGUGGACGUAUACGGUGUGACGCCUGCCCGGUGCCGGAAGGUUAAUUGAUGGGGUUAGCGGUAACGCGAAGCUCUUGAUCGAAGCCCCGGUAAACGGCGGCCGUAACUAUAACGGUCCUAAGGUAGCGAAAUUCCUUGUCGGGUAAGUUCCGACCUGCACGAAUGGCGUAAUGAUGGCCAGGCUGUCUCCACCCGAGACUCAGUGAAAUUGAACUCGCUGUGAAGAUGCAGUGUACCCGCGGCAAGACGGAAAGACCCCGUGAACCUUUACUAUAGCUUGACACUGAACAUUGAGCCUUGAUGUGUAGGAUAGGUGGGAGGCUUUGAAGUGUGGACGCCAGUCUGCAUGGAGCCGACCUUGAAAUACCACCCUUUAAUGUUUGAUGUUCUAACGUUGACCCGUAAUCCGGGUUGCGGACAGUGUCUGGUGGGUAGUUUGACUGGGGCGGUCUCCUCCUAAAGAGUAACGGAGGAGCACGAAGGUUGGCUAAUCCUGGUCGGACAUCAGGAGGUUAGUGCAAUGGCAUAAGCCAGCUUGACUGCGAGCGUGACGGCGCGAGCAGGUGCGAAAGCAGGUCAUAGUGAUCCGGUGGUUCUGAAUGGAAGGGCCAUCGCUCAACGGAUAAAAGGUACUCCGGGGAUAACAGGCUGAUACCGCCCAAGAGUUCAUAUCGACGGCGGUGUUUGGCACCUCGAUGUCGGCUCAUCACAUCCUGGGGCUGAAGUAGGUCCCAAGGGUAUGGCUGUUCGCCAUUUAAAGUGGUACGCGAGCUGGGUUUAGAACGUCGUGAGACAGUUCGGUCCCUAUCUGCCGUGGGCGCUGGAGAACUGAGGGGGGCUGCUCCUAGUACGAGAGGACCGGAGUGGACGCAUCACUGGUGUUCGGGUUGUCAUGCCAAUGGCACUGCCCGGUAGCUAAAUGCGGAAGAGAUAAGUGCUGAAAGCAUCUAAGCACGAAACUUGCCCCGAGAUGAGUUCUCCCUGACUCCUUGAGAGUCCUGAAGGAACGUUGAAGACGACGACGUUGAUAGGCCGGGUGUGUAAGCGCAGCGAUGCGUUGAGCUAACCGGUACUAAUGAACCGUGAGGCUUAACCUU
rnacentral:rRNA from 1 species